rnacentral:misc_RNA from 1 species
AACGCAUGUGGCGCCGCGGGAGCAGUUCCGCGGCAUGCCUGUUUGAGAGCCGAACGGCGGUUGCCACCACCGGCAACUUGCUUGCUCGCUUGGGCCCUCACCACUGACCGCCCCGAAUGGCGCGCCGCGCAGAGGAGAGGCAGACGGCUGCGGCGUCUGCGCGGCGUCGUGCGUGCGUGCGUGCCUGUGGCGGGCGCGCGCGCCGCGACAACAGGCCUCAAAUCAGGCAAGACUACCCGCCGAACUUAA